rnacentral:tRNA from 1 species
GGAGAGAUGGCCGAGUGGUUUAAGGCGGCGGUCUUGAAAACCGUUGACCGAAAGGUCCGGGGGUUCGAAUCCCUCUCUCUCCGCCA